UUCGAUUCCGGAGAGGGAGCCUGAGAAACGGCUACCACAUCCAAGGAAGGCAGCAGGCGCGCAAAUUACCCAAUCCCGACACGGGGAGGUAGUGACAAUAAAUAACAAUACGGGGCUCUUUCGGGUCUCGUAAUUGGAAUGAGUACAAUUUAAAUCCCUUAACGAGGAACAAUUGGAGGGCAAGUCUGGUGCCAGCAGCCGCGGUAAUUCCAGCUCCAAUAGCGUAUAUUAAAGUUGUUGCAGUUAAAAAGCUCGUAGUUGAAUUUCGGGAUUGACACAUCGGUCGUGCCUUAAGGGGUAUGAACUGGUGUAGUCAAUUUCUCACCUUCUGGAGAACCGCGAUGCCCUUAAUUGGGUGUCACGGGGAACCAGGACCUUUACUUUGAAAAAAUUAGAGUGUUUAAAGCAGGCAUUUUGCUUGAAUACAUUAGCAUGGAAUAAUAAAAUAGGACGGCAUGAUUCUAUUUUGUUGGUUUCUAGGAUCACCGUAAUGAUUAAUAGGGAUAGUUGGGGGCAUUAGUAUUCAAUUGUCAGAGGUGAAAUUCUUGGAUUUAUUGAAGACUAACUACUGCGAAAGCAUUUGCCAAGGAUGUUUUCAUUAAUCAAGAACGAAAGUUAGGGGAUCGAAGACGAUCAGAUACCGUCGUAGUCUUAACCAUAAACUAUGCCGACUAGGAAUCAGACGAUGUUAAUUUUUUAAU
rnacentral:rRNA from 1 species